UACGGACUUAAAAUCCGUCGACUUUCUAAGUCGUGAGGGUUCAAGUCCCUCUAUCCCCA
rnacentral:tRNA from 2 species